rnacentral:lncRNA from 1 species
UUAGGAGGUAGAGCAGCAGAGGAAAUAAUUUUUGGUGAACCAGAAAUCACUACUGGUGCAGCAGGAGACUUGCAACAAAUAACUCAAAUAGCAAGACAGGUAUUCACUUUAGCAUAUUUUCUUGUUGCACCAAAUAAUAAAGAAAACAAUACAGUUGAAUACUAACAAGUUUUAACUUGUCAAUGUUCGUAACCAGAACAGAUGGUUACAAUGUUUGGGAUGUCUGAGAUUGGACCAUGGACGUUAACAGAUCCAGCAGCACAAAGUGGCGAUGUGGUGCUGAGAAUGCUAGCAAGGAAUCAAAUGUCAGAGAAACUAGCAGAAGACAUUGAUGAAUCUGUAAGGCACAUAAUUGAGAGAGCAUAUGAAAUUGCAAAGAACCACAUAAGGAACAACAGGGAGGCAAUCGACAAGUUAGUGGACGUGCUGCUGGAAAAGGAGACUCUUACAGGAGAUGAGUUUAGAGCUAUACUCUCGGAAUUCA